rnacentral:rRNA from 1 species
UGGGGAAUAUUGCGCAAUGGGCGAAAGCCUGACGCAGCAACGCCGCGUGGGGGAUGAAGGCCUUCGGGUUGUAAACCUCUUUCAGCAGGGAAGAAGCGAAAGUGACGGUACCUGCAGAAGAAGCACCGGCUAACUACGUGCCAGCAGCCGCGGUAAUACGUAGGGUGCAAGCGUUGUCCGGAUUUAUUGGGCGUAAAGAGCUCGUAGGCGGUUAGUCACGUCGGAUGUGAAAACCCGGAGCUUAACUCCGGGCCUGCAUUCGAUACGGGCUGACUAGAGUGUUGUAGGGGAGACUGGAACUCCUGGUGUAGCGGUGAAAUGCGCAGAUAUCAGGAAGAACACCGGUGGCGAAGGCGGGUCUCUGGGCAACUACUGACGCUGAGGAGCGAAAGCGUGGGGAGCAAACAGG